rnacentral:rRNA from 1 species
UACGGAGGGUGCACGCGUUGUCCGGCAUCACUGGGCGUAAAGGGCGCGUAGGCGGCUCAUGACGGCUGUGGUGAAAGUCCGGGGCUCAACCUCGGAUCGGCCGUGGCGACUCGUGGGCUGGAGCACUGUAGAGGCGGGUGGAAUUCCGGGUGUAGCGGUGGAAUGCGUAGAGAUCCGGAAGAACACCAGUGGCGAAGGCGACAUACUGGCUCAUUACUGACGCUGAGGCGCGAAAGCGUGGGGAGCAAACAGG